UACGUAGGGCGCAAGCGUUAUCCGGAAUUAUUGGGCGUAAAGAGCUCGUAGGCGGUUUGUCGCGUCUGCCGUGAAAGUCCGGGGCUCAACUCCGGAUCUGCGGUGGGUACGGGCAGACUAGAGUGAUGUAGGGGAGACUGGAAUUCCUGGUGUAGCGGUGAAAUGCGCAGAUAUCAGGAGGAACACCGGUGGCGAAGGCGGGUCUCUGGGCCGAUACUGACGCUGAGACGCGAAAGCGUGGGGAGCAAACAGG
rnacentral:rRNA from 1 species